rnacentral:lncRNA from 1 species
GCGCGCUUGCUCACUAAGGGACUUUUUUGAAGCAAGAGAAGUAACGCAUGACAUCUUUCUCUCUCGAAUUAAAAUGUGACUUGAUUCACCCGGUAAAAUCGCAGUGGGAGAUGGAAUUGGCCGGGAGUGGAGUCGCAAAGAGGAGGUGGGUGGUCAAAUGAAAGCCCCAUUCUAGGUUCCCAUUUUCAGAGUCCCGAUUCUUCCCUUUCCCCACCCACACCCUGGGCAGAGUGUUGUCACAGCAAUCUUGCAAAACCUACAAGAAGCGCUUCUCUUUUCUAGGUCCUCUGCCAGGCCAGUCUCCGCGCUCGGUCCCCUAAGUCCCCAAGCCCAC